UUCCAAAAGGUACACCUGUUUGAGUG
rnacentral:rRNA from 1 species